rnacentral:rRNA from 1 species
CCUACGGGGGGCAGCAGUGAGGAAUAUUGGUCAAUGGACGAGAGUCUGAACCAGCCAAGUAGCGUGAAGGAUGACUGCCCUAUGGGUUGUAAACUUCUUUUAUAAAGGAAUAAAACGAGGCACGUGUGCCUUUUUGCAUGUACUUUAUGAAUAAGGAUCGGCUAACUACGUGCCAGCAGCCGCGGUAAUACGUAGGGGGCAAGCGUUAUCCGGAUUUACUGGGUGUAAAGGGAGCGUAGGCGGUUUAGCAAGUCAGAAGUGAAAGCCCGGGGCUCAACUCCGGGACUGCUUUUGAAACUGUUGAU